UACUAUUUCACAUCCAUUAUAAAUUAACUAUCCACUGUUUCUCAGAUUGAAAGCAAUUUAGAGGCACGAUUAAAAACACCUCAAAUUCCUGUAAUUAAAAAUUCUUCGAGUCUCUUAAAAAGCUAAAUUCUCCAAACAAAAAAUCUACUCUAGAAAUUCGCAUGCAAGUCAAAUGGAAGCGCAGAAACACGUUCACAGGUUCCUUCGAAAAAAAGUCAAGUGCGCCGAACCGAUCUGUCUACGUCUUCUUUUAUCCUGAGACGUUAAGAAGGGUUAAGGGGAUUAGGAUGAGGAGACCAGAAGGAUGGCUUCCCGAAUCCUCUUUUAAAGGCACGGUGCUUCGGGAAAAGAUAAACUCGAAGGAGCUACCUGUGAGUAAAGCCACGCAAAAAUAAACAGAUUUGAAGGAACGUUUAUCCAGAGGGACGGUAGUCGUAUAGUCGAGUGAAUUUAAAAGCCAUUGGACAGCGGGCGCGCGUCCGACCCUCUGACCCACUCUCGUCGAGUGGGGUCACUUUAGAAAAGGGCUGGUGACACUAAUCUGACGUUAACGGGACCGCGGUAAUCUUAGAUCCUUAUCUCGUCGACGAACAGGGGCAGAAUUAUCGGCUGCUCGAUGAGCUAAGAGCCAAAAUUUCCUUCAUUUCCUCUCAUCGUCCCACUCACUCUCCUGCUCCAAUUUAACCCUUUUAUAGGAUCGUAGGGAAUCGAGCGAUAUAUAAAUUAGCAGUGUCAGAUUGACGGAUGCAUUUGUUUGUUUUUCAUGCAUGUUUCAAGAGGUUUGAACGUACGAGUCUAUAUACCGAGGGCCACUCUUUUGUCGAUACUUCUUUUGUCGCACGACCGCGAACGACGUUAAGAAAGGCAACAUUUCAUGUAUUAUUCAACCGUGAGGAGAACGUGCCGUACGUUCUCGAGGUGGUCUUGAAAUUUCCUUGUUCUUGGACAUUUGCGCCAUCCGUAUAAUUUCUUAUUCAUAUUUUCUUGAGAUCUCUUUUUAUCGUAACGGUGUAUAAAAGAAUUGUUAGAAUUUUUCUACAAUGACAAUUAACUUAUUUUUAUAUUACAAUUUAUUGUUUGCUUUGCUCUCGAUGAAGCGUCUAGAUAAAAACGAGAAGAUAAAUAAUAUCCCUAUUAAUAAACGUUACGAGUACAUAUGGUGGUCGUAGAUUGCCAAUUCCACGAACGAAUUUGAAAGGUUUGAAGUCGUGAAGUGAACACAUUGGUUUGAGUCGUUCUAUAGACUUCAAAGAAGCACCCUAAGAGUCUCUCUUGCUCCAGCUAGAGCUAUCGAAGGUUGGACGAUUGAAAAUCGUACGUGGGUUCAAAGGAAAAAGGAAAGGAAAGCGAACGCACGAUUAUGCAGUGAAUAAUUGAUCGAGAAAGUUAGGCAAGUCUCCGCACUUUUUUUUUGUGAAUCAAAUCAAAGGAAGGAAACAUCGGAUAAGACAAUUAUGUGUAAUUCUGUCUCCUUUGUUAUUUUUUAGCGAGCAAUUGCUGUCGCACAGUCGAAGAAAUCAUCGGCGAGGUCUAUUAUUUCAUGCGGAGAAUCAUCUAGUCCAAAAUAAUAUUUCAUUGAAGCUAUUAUCUCAAUCAAUAUGUUCUAACGGAUAGAAUGAGCAAAAUAAAGUAGAACCUCGCAAGUAUUAAUAGAGGAUUAUAAAACAGUAAUUAAAUGCAAUUAAAAACAAACAGCUGUAUAAAGUUGAGAUAACAGAAACAAAAAACCGGUGUUGAAAAACAACAGUAAAAAAUUAAAUUAAAUCGCAGGUUUGAUAAACGGAAAUAAUAAAUAGGUUUGAUAAGCGGAAUUAUAGGCAGCGAUAAGAAAUAGGAGUGAAAGAUGUAUUUAAGAAAUAGAACUGAACAGGGUAUGUAAAAAAUGGCGUUGAGAAACGUAAUUAAAGUAUCAUGUAUGAUUA